rnacentral:rRNA from 1 species
UGAGGAAUAUUGGGCAAUGCCCGCAAGGGUGACCCAGCAACGCCGCGUGGAGGAUGAAUGUCGUAAGAUUGUAAACUCCUGUUAGAGGGGAAGAAUAGUACCGGUUGGACCGGUAUAUGACUGUACCCUCAGAGAAAGCCCCGGCUAACUACGUGCCAGCAGCCGCGGUAAUACGUAGGGAGCAAGCGUUGUCCGGAUUUACUGGGUGUAAAGGGCGCGCAGGCGGGAUAAAAAGUCAGUGGUGAAAUCCUACAGCUUAACUGUAGAACUGCCUUUGAUACUUUUAUUCUUGAGUUCGGGAGAGAGAGACGGAAUUCCAGGUGUAGUGGUGAAAUACGUAGAUAUCUGGAAGAACACCAGUUGCGAAGGCGGUCUCUUGGUCCGACACUGACGCUGAGGCGCGAAAGCGUGGGGAGCAAACA